rnacentral:lncRNA from 10 species
AGCGUAGAAAGUCUGUAGCUCUACUUUGUCAGGACUGUGAUUCUUUAAAGACAUGAAAUUAACUCCAUAGUCACCCAGUUUUAUGCCUGGGGGCACUCUCCAAAACUGGACACAGAGAGUUAAGCUCAAAAAGAACAGUGGUCUUAAUGGGCACAGAAAGAUCACAAUUUAGGGCUGUUGAGAAAACUGAAUUGUGAUGCAGGGUACAGAAGUGGAAACUCCACUGAAAAAGAGCUCCAGAAAUCUGCACGAGGUGCCCAAGAACAGAACUUUCUGCAACUUGUAUCUGUGACAUCUAAUGUGGUAGCCACCAGUACCAUGUGCUACUAAGCACUUGAAAUGUGGCAAAUGCAAGUAAGAAACAAUAUUUUAAAUUAAUUUUAAAUAGCUACAACUUGUGACUACUGUAUCAGCCAUUAUAGCCCUAGAAGUUGGCUGAACAGUUGGCUGAACAGUAGGCUGCAAAUGUGCAGAGCAAAAUUCUGAGACAUGACAGAAGCCUAUGAGCUGAACAGAGUACAGAGGUGGCAAAAAUCAGACGUGGCUCUGACCAAGCAGAAUGGAGAGCCUUUGCUGAACCAUAUGGGCUUUCAGUUUAGACAAAGAAAGGCUACACUUAAGCUGGGCACAGUGGCUCACACCUGUAAUCCCAACACUUUGGGAGGCUGAGGUGGGUGGAUCACCCUGAGGUCAGGAAUUCGAGACAGCCCUGGCCAACAUGGUGAAAAUCUGUCUCUACUAAAAACACAAAAACUAGCCAGGCGUGGUGGCAAGCAACUGUAAUCCCAGCUACUCAGGAGGCUGACGCAGGAGAAUUGCUUGAACCCGGGAGGUGGAGGUUGCAGUGAGCCGAGAUCACACCAUCGCACUCCAGCCCAGGCAACAAGAGUGAAACUCUGCCUCAAAAAAAAAAAAAAAGAAAAGAAAAGAAAAAAGAAAAUAAAGAAAAAAUAUUGCUAAAGCUUUGGAAAAGAACUGUUGGAAUCUGUGGCCUCCUUGAGUGAGGUCUCACCCACCCCUAGGUUGAUUGGUAAAAACUACAGUUUUGUCUGGCUGUAGCUAACUGAAAAACUAGCAACUUUGCCGUAAGAGGAGUCUUGAUUUACAGCAGAGGUAUAAACCUACAACUUUGUAAGUCAAAAGUAAAAAAAUCACUUAGGAAUGGACAAGGAGUAUCUGUAGUUGCUAACCAAAGGUUACAGUCCUAGUUCUUGAAGAGCAACAGAGCAGCCAGACAUUUAACAAGGUCCUGGAAACAGAAGGGCAGAAAAGGGUAACAUGAGCUCUCCAAACAUCUUUGGCAAACUGAAAUGAUGCAUGCACAGGGGAGACUCAAGAGAGCAUGGCAAAUGUAAAAACCAAGGGGAAUUUGGGAACUGCCUCCUACAAUGAAUGCAUCCCCCAUCCCACACAGAACAACCAACAGUGGGUGGAAGGCUUAUAGACUCAAGUGUUUGAUCUUAACCUUUGUCCAAAUGAUUGGCUGACUGCUAAGCUAUGCAGACACAGGAACUACCCCUAGCAAGCAAGAAUAAAUAUUGAAAUAAAGAACUUAAAAACUGAGCACAGACAGCAAUAACUUCACAUCAUAUAUAAGAUAGAUUCCACAAUUUGAGUCCAGUCAAAAUGCUAAAUUUAAAACAAUACAAAUCCCUUAGAUAUAAAACAAAAUUGAGUUGCUACAAUAUGCUACCUAAAAUGUCCAGCUGUCAACCAAAAAUUAUUAGACAUGUAAAAACAUAUGAAAGUGAAAUAUACUAAAGGAAAAAAAGCAUUCAGUGAAAACUAAAUCUGUAUGGGCCCAGAUACUUGAUUAGUCAAGCCUUCAAUAAGACUUCAUAACAAAUAUAUUCAAAGAAAUAAAAGUAAAAAAAAAAUUAAAAAUGACUCAAUAAAAGAGAAAUCACAAUAGAAAAUUAUAAAGUAUAAAAAAAGAGCCAUCACACUUCAUUCUUCCUAAGUCCUACACCAGAGUUGCUUUAAAUGUGUGUAUUUAAUGGUUAAAUAAGACCUGAAAAGGGAGUUGGCCUAAAAAUAUUUUUACCGUAAAACAUCAAUUUCUUCAGAGUUAAUGAGAAUUAUAUGCUAACCAUACCAAAAACCUUGAUUAGAAUUUUUAGCUUAGAUGUAUUGAUUGAUAUUAAAAAGGGAAAGUUGAGGCCACAUACAGAAAGCAAUGGCGAAGGACACUGCCUCCAACAGAAAAUAUGAACCAAAAAG